rnacentral:rRNA from 1 species
GGGUCAGUAGGUUGGUCGUGCCACCGGUACGUACUGGUCUCACUGAUUCCUCCUUCCUGAAGAACCGUAAUGCCAUUAAUUUGGUGUUGCGGGGAAACAGGACUGUUAUUUUGAAAAAAUUAGAGUGUUUAAAGCAAGCUAACGCUUGAAUACAUUAGCAUGGAAUAAUGAAAUAGGACGAUCGAUCCUAUUUUGUUGGUUUCUAGGAUUGACGUA